rnacentral:sRNA from 1 species
AUCAAUGUUAAAGCUCGAGAUGGGCGAA